AGUUGACAUCAAGAAGGGCCUCCCAGUUCCCAGUCCCCGUUUCCUCUCGUUCCCGUUCUCCGGCCCCUGGCUUUCUCGGGGGUUCCAUUAUGCUUCGAAUCCAAACCCACUCUGCGGCUGUUCCGCCCGGCUUCGCUCCUUCCUCUUCUUCUCCCACCGCCGACGCACGGUUCUUGUCUAGCUCCGCCAAAUUUUCGAAAUCGAUCCCUCUCUUCGUCCUGCGCUUCGAUAGAUCGCGCCGCAGGAGAUCCCUUCUCCGCCCCUGCAAGGCUUCCCUCGGCAAUGGCGAUCGAGGGACCGCUGGAGACGGCGGCGGUGGCUGCGGCGCCGACGACGAUGACCAAUUCCUCCAGGCAUUUCUCCUCCUCUCAGAGACUGUCAGGCACUACAACCUGUGGAAGCAGGGUUUUGCAGUAGAUGAAAAAAGGAAUUUGCUUGGUCAUAGGCACUCUUUUUCUCAUCGGGCAAAAGGGGAAAAUUCAAGUGGUAGCCCCUUUGGCCAAGGGUUUCUUCGUCGAUUUCAGAGCCCUACUAUAUUUCUCAAAAUUGCUUGUGAUGGGGAUCUACUAUUGCCAAUAAUUGUAGGAGAGUUUGCUAUUAGAAGACUUAUUAGUGACUCAACAGAUGAUCAACAUGAGGAAUUCCCAGAUCAGUUUCAGUUUGUGAAAAAUAUUGUGGGGACAUUUGGCUAUGAGGUGAAAAUGGUGCGCAUUACAGAAAGGGUGGUCAAUACAUAUUAUGCGCGCAUAUUCCUCGGAAAGCACACAGAGAGGGCCAAUAUGAGCAUUGAUGCGCGCCCCUCAGAUGCUAUAAUUGUUGCCAAAAGGUUCCAGGCACCAAUUUAUGUAAGCAAGGCAAUUGUUCUAACAGAUGCUGUUAAAAUUGUUCAUGGAACAUCAAGAGGAAGUGGUGGAAAGACUGUUUAUGAUGUAUCCAUGGACAGCGCAGCAGAAGGCCCUGAUCCACUUGUUGAGGAACUUGAUUUGGUCAGAAAGAUGAAUACAGCAGUCAUGGAGGAAAGAUAUGAAGAUGCAGGCAUCUGUGUUGAGAGACAAGCUUGCUAAGCUCCGCAUGCCAAGACAAGAACUGUAGAUAAUUCUUAAUCAAGAUCCGACUUGGUUCAGGCUCCCCUCCGCCAAAAUCCCGUCCCACAAGGUUGAAUUGGAAAGAUAGCAACAAUAGGAAGGGUUUAUUGCUGUUUAAGCUCGGUCUCAAGCAUUACUGGCAGAUUGUUCAACUUGAAGAGCAAUAUCUUGGAGUCAAACAAGAUCCCAUUAGUCUCACCCAAAGCCAUAGCAUGAUAUGUACAGUGCAAAGUUGUACUGCCCUUUUCAUCUGUUGUUGUUGGAAGAAAAUCUAUCCUGCUUCGAAGCUGCCAUGAGGUUUUGAUUGGCUGAAUGGACUCGAGUGACCAAGAAUGUGAAUAAUCCACAGAAAAGUUGCUUAUGGGAGGAUAUGGUAAAGGCUUUUCUUAAUUUUUGUGGUGGUCUAGGAGGGGUGUCUUCAUGUGUCUGGAGCAGUCAAUGCCCUGUAUUUAGCUUUUACCUCCGCUCAAAUGACAAGAAAUUUAAACCAUUCCAGAGGAGCUGUACUCUCUUUAUUCUGUCCCCAUUUGCCCGGUUUAAGUAGCAAGCAAUUCACUUCUGAUA